AACAUCUCAUUCUUCUCCCUCCCUCUUCUCACUAUCACAGCCAGGGAGCACAACAGGUUUCAGCAGUGACAGGAAAACACCUCUUUCCUUAGGAGUAGGAAGAAAGAUGCAACACUGGUGUCAGUGUACCAGGGAAAGCCAGACCCGGGGAGUAAAGAUACUACUAAGACAAUGAAAGAAAUAUCCACACGGACCCUGUUCCAGAAGAUUCAGAGCUUUCCAGCUGGGAAGGAGCACUCAGACAACAGCGUGACCAUACACCAGCAACAUCCUCGUUCUCAAGCCCACGGUGGAUGCAGUCAGAAUGCAGUCUGUUGGGAAAUGUAAAAACACUGAUCAAAUUCUGCUUGUGAAGUUCUGGAUCAGUAAAUCCCUCCAGAUACACCAAGGACAUCUACACUGAGUAAAAAUAUUGUUUUGGAACCCACCCUCAAACAUUUGCAAGAUUUUUUAGAAGGAUGCAAUG